rnacentral:rRNA from 1 species
AACGAACGCUGGCGGCAGGCCUAACACAUGCAAGUCGAGCGCCCCGCAAGGGGAGCGGCGGACGGGUGAGUAACGCGUGGGAACGUACCCUUUGCUACGGAAUAGCCUCGGGAAACUGGGAGUAAUACCGUAUGUGCUCUUCGGAGGAAAGAUUUAUCGGCAAAGGAUCGGCCCGCGUUGGAUUAGGUAGUUGGUGGGGCAAUCGCCUACCAAGCCGACGAUCCAUAGCUGGUUUGAGAGGAUGAUCAGCCACACUGGGACUGAGACACGGCCCCGACUCCUACGGGAGGCAGAGGUGGGGAUGCUUAGACAAUGGGCGCAAGCCUGAUCGAGCCAUGCCGCGUGAGCGAUGAAGGCCUUAGGGUUGUAAAGCUCUUUCAGUGGGGAAGAUAAUGACUGUACCCACAGAAGAAGCCCCGGCUAACUCCGUGCCAGCCGCCGCCGUAA